CUUAAACAAUGUCUACACUGUAUUUCUGAUCAAUUUGAUGUUAUUUUAAUGGACAAAAUGUUUUUCCUUUUCUUUCAAAAACAAGGACAUUUCUAAGUGUCCCCAAACUGUUGAACAGUAGUGUAACUAAACCAAAAUGGAACAUGCAGAAAAUACAUUUCUGAAGCAACAAAAUGAUACCUUGUUCACCCCCCCUCAAUAACCCAUAACGAAAAAGCCAAAACUGGUUUAGACAUUAAUUUAUUCAAAAUAAAAAACAGAAAUAACACAAUUACAUUAAGUAUUCAGACCCUUUUCUCAGUACUUUAUUGAAGCACCUUUGGCAGUGAUUACAGCCUCGAGUCUUCUUGGGUAUGACGCUACAAGCUUGGCACAUCUGUAUUUGGGGAGUUUCUCCCAUUCUUCGCUGCAGGUCCUUUCAAGCUCUGUCAGGUUGGAUGGGGAGUGUCGCUGCACAGCUAUUUUCAGGUCUCUCCAGAGAUGUUAGAUCGGAUUCAAGUCCGGGCUCUGACUGGGCCACUCAAGGACAUUCAGAGACUUGUCCGAAGGCCACUCCUGUGUUGUCUUGGUUGUGUGCUUAGGGUCGUUGUCCUGUUGGAAGGUGAACCUUCACCCCAGUCUGCGGUUCUGAGCGCUCUGGAACAGCUAGUACAGCCCCUAGUACCUUAGGUAGUACAGUAUAGCCUCAGCUAGUCCAGCCCCUAGUCCAGCAGGUAGUACAGUAUAGCCUCAGCUAGUCCAGCAGGUAGUCCAGCAGGUAGUACAGUAUAGCCUCAGCUAGUCCAGCAGGUAGUCCAGUAUAGCCUCAGCUAGUCCAGCUCCUAGUCCAGCAGGUAGUACAGUAUAGCCUCAGCUAGUCCAGCAGGUAGUCCAGUAUAGCCUCAGCUAGUCCAGCAGGUAGUACAGUAUAGCCUCAGCUAGUACAGCUCCUAGUCCAGCAGGUAGUACAGUAUAGCCUCAGCUAGUCCAGCAGGUAGUCCAGCAGGUAGUACAGUAUAGCCUCAGCUAGUCCAGCAGGUAGUCCAGCAGGUAGUACAGUAUAGCCUCAGCUAGUCCAGCUCCUAGUCCAGCAGGUAGUACAGUAUAGCCUCAGCUAGUCCAGCAGGUAGUACAGUAUAGCCUCAGCUAGUCCAGCUCCUAGUCCAGCAGGUAGUCCAGUAUAGCCUCAGCUAGUCCAGCUCCUAGUCCAGCAGGUAGUACAGUAUAGCCUCAGCUAGUCCAGCAGGUAGUACUGUAUAGCCUCAGCUAGUCAGCCCCUAGUCCAGUAUAGCCUCAGCUAGUCAGCCCCUAGUCCAGCAGGUAGUUGGUUUUGAGAGAGAGCCUUGACAGAAUGAUAACCACGCCACAGAACUGUAUACAUUUAUCAAUGAUACAUGUUCCAACUCGGGUCCCUUGACACAGAGGCAAGUACGCUAACCCCAAGAUAGACAACUCUAGAGCUUCUCCCUAACCCUUAACCCUAACCGCUUAACCCUAACCCCAAGAUAGACAACUCUAGAGCUUCUCCCUAACCCUUAACCCUAACCCCAAGAUAGACAACUCUAGAGCUAACCCUAAACCUUAACCCUAACCCCAAGAUAGACAACUCUAGAGCUUCUCCCUAACCCUAACCCUUAACCCUAACCCUUAACCCUAACCCCAAGAUAGACAACUCUAGAGCUACUCCCUAACCCUUAACCCCUAACCCCUAACCCUUAACCCUAACCCCAAGAUAGACAACUCUAGAGCUAACCCUAACCCUUAACCCUAACCCCUAACCCUAACCCCUAACCCCAAGAUAGACAACUCUAGAGCUAACCCUAACCCUUAACCCCCCUAACCCCUAACCCUAACCCCUAACCCCAAGAUAGACAACUCUAGAGCUUCUGAAAGGUUGUUCUAGUGUGGAUAUGAAUGGAGGCUAUGGUCAUAACAGAGAACAGAAAAACAUGGAUGUCUGAGAGUAGUUGUUCUGCUGGUCAGGGAAGGCAAUAGAUUGUAUAGUUAUCUUCUGAUCAGGGUAAAAUCACUACCCCACAACAAUACAAUCUACUACCUCACAACGCCUCAGCAGAUAGACAAUGACUUCAUAAUGUUGACGAUGUACCUUGAUGAUUUCUUCCUGUUCGUUCUCAAAACACCACAGCAAAUACGAUCAGAAUAGAAUCUUUUACAAUGACCAUAAGAGGAGAUUGACUGUAGUAUCCUUGGUGAUUGACACAUUGAGAAAGACAGUAGGUUGUACAGUUAUCUCCCAGUGUGGGUGUGACCCUAAAACUAUCCAACCUACUACCUCAUCCCACUGAGCUGAGGAACCUGGAGAGGAACCUGGAGAGGAACCUGGAGAGGAACCUGGAGAGGAACCUGGUCUGAUCCACCUCACAGCAUCUGUUGAGAGAGAGACUGGAUAGUAAUACUGCCACUUUUAGGAUCAAUUCCAUCAUAUCAAACAAACAAAAAAUUUUUUUU
rnacentral:lncRNA from 1 species